CAGUUAAAGAAGGAAAAACCCACAAUUCUCACUGAAAUCACUUGAAACUCACAAAAGUAACAAUAAAUAAAAAUUUAUUGAAAAUUAAAUAAUCAAAAUCAGCCAUCACUUUUGAAUUGUUGAUGAACAUAAUUAUUUAAAAAAACAAACUAAUGAAAUAGGGCUGGACAAAAAUGAUGGUACCCAUAACUUAAUAUUUUGUUGCACAACCUUUUGAGGCAAUCACUGCAAUUAAACGAUUUCUGUAUUUGUCAAUGAGCGUUCUGCAGCUGUCAACAGGUAUUUUGGCCCACUCCUCAUGAGCAAACAGCUCCAGUUGUCUCAGGUUUGAUGGGUGUCUUCUCCAAAUGGCAUGUUUCAGCUCCUUCCACAUAUGUUCAAUGGGAUUCAGAUCUGGGCUCAUAGAAGGCCACUUUAGAAUAGUCCAACGCUUUUCUCUCAGCCAUUCUUGGGUGUUUUUGGCUGUGUGUUUUGGAUCGUUGUCCUGUUGGAAGACCCAUGACCUGCGACUGAGACCAAGCUUUCUGACACUAGGCAGCACAUUUCUCUCCAGAAUGCCUUGAUAGUCUUCAGAUUUCAUCGUACCUUGCACACUUUCAAGACACCCUGUGCCAGAUGCAGCAAAGCAGCCCCAAAACAUUACUGAGCCUCCUCCAUGUUUCACCGUAGGGACAGUGUUCUUUUCUUCGUAUGCUUGGUUUUUGAGUCUAUGAACAUAGAGUUGAUGUGCCUUACCAAAAAGCUCCAGUUUGGUCUCAUCUGUCCAAAGGACAUUCUCCCAGAAGCUUUGUGGCUUGUCAACAUGCAUUUUUGCAAAUUCCAGUCUGGCUUUUUUAUGAGUUUUUUUCAGCAGUGGUGUCCUCCUUGGUCGUCUCUCAUGAAGUCCACUUUGGCUCAAACAACGACGAAUGGUGCGAUCUGACACUGAUGUACCUUGGCCUUGGAGUUCACCUUUAAUUUCUUUGGAGGUUGCUCUGGGCUCUUUGGAUACAAUUCCAACGAUCCGUCUCUUCAAUUUGUCAUCAAUUUUCCUCUUGCGGCCACGUCCAGGGAGGUUGGCUACUGUCCCGUGGGUCUUGAACUUCUGAAUAAUAUGAGCCACUGUUGUCACAGGAACUUCAAGCUGUUUAGAGAUGGUCUUAUAGCCUUUACCUUUAAGAUGUUUGUCUAUCAUUUUUUUUCGGAUGUCCUGGGACAAUUCUCUCCUUCGCUUUCUGUUGUCCAUGUUCAGUGUGGUACACACCUUUUCACCAAACAGCAGGGUGACUACUUGUCUCCCUUUAAAUAGGCAGACUGACUGAUUAUGAGUUUGGAAACACCUGUGAUGUCAAUUAAAUGACACACCUGAGUUAAUCAUGUCACUCUGGUCAAAUAGUUUUCAAUCUUUUAUAGAGGUACCAUCAUUUUUGUCCAGGCCUGUUUCAUUAGUUUGUUUUUUUAAAUAAUUAUGUUAAUCAACAAUUCAAAAGUAAUGGCUGUUUUUGAUUAUUUAAUUUUCAAUAAAUUUUUAUUUAUUGUUACUUUUGUGAGUUUCAAGUGAUUUCAGUGAGAAUUGUGGGUUUUUCCUUCUUUAACUGAGGGGUACCAACAAUUUUGUCCACGUGUGUACAUUUGUGACUUUACGUCAUGAAUUUACAUGUGUUUUCAAUGACUGAGCUGGUUAUUUUUCCAUUUACCAAGAAUGUGAUCUGCAUGUUCCUUCACCAAAAUAAGUUCUCAUAAUAAAAUAAUUACAUUGAUGCGUUUUAAGAUGCUCCUAGAAAAAAAUCCCAUGGCCAGCUGAGGACAGUGAUGAUGAAGACUUUGACAUGGAGUCCACGUGCCGCAUCACUGGCUUUCUAAGGACGUUAAUUGAAACGGCUUCAUCAGGCACUGGCCCAGCUGCUGACAUUCUGGGUUUGCUGGGAGAUGCUUCCUCCUGAACUGAAAGUGGAGAUCUCUGGGGAGCCCUUCCUACGUCCUCCACAUGCUUUGAAACACUAAAGCUGCCAGCUCAUUUCAAAACCUACGUGGACUUCAAGGAAGCGCUUGUCUCUGCCAUAAGUGGUGCACAGACUGGAUUUGGACUUGUUUAAGUUUUCAGACAGAUGUCACUGAAUGCUGUUCAGUAGGUCAGGUUCAGGGUCUUUGAAAACAUUGAACAUACUGUACAGUAGUUGACAAUGGUUUCAUUUUUCAUAUACAUAUUUUUUUUUCCAGUUACUGAAACAAAGCAGUUGUGCAUCUUCAGCUUUCAGUGUUAGAACAGCAUUCAUGUUGUUCAUUCUGGGCCAAUAAUGAGACAGGAAGAAAAGGAGUGGAGCUGUGCAUAAAGUGCAUUUACAGUAUCUUAAUGAUUAUGGCAGAGCCUUUUUUUUUUCCUAAGGAAAGCAAACUUUUUCAGUUUAUGCUUGCAUGUUCUAAGAUGCUAAAUAAAAGCAUGAGUUGGA